rnacentral:rRNA from 1 species
UUCUGGUUGAUCCUGCCGGACCUGACUGCUAUCGGAUUGAUACUAAGCCAUGCGAGUCUUUGUAGUAAUACAAGGCAGACGGCUCAGUAACGCGUAGUCAACCUACCCUAUGGACGGGAAUAAUCUCGGGAAACUGAGUAUAAUACCCGGCAUACCAUCAUUCCUGGAAUGGUUGGUGGUUAAAAUGAUUCGUCGCCGUAGGAUGGGACUGCGACCUAUCAGCUUGUUGGUGAGGUAAUGGCCCACCAAGGCGAUUACAGGUACGGGCUCUGAGAGGAGAAGCCCGGAGAUGGGUACUGAGACACGGACCCAGGCCCUAUGGGGCGCAGCAGGCGAGAAAACUUUGCAAUGUGCGAAAGCACGACAAGGUUAAUCCGAGUGAUUUCUGCUAAAGGAAUCUUUUGCCAGUUCUAAAAAUACUAGUGAAUAAGGGGCGGGCAAGUUCUGGUGUCAGCCGCCGCGGUAAAACCAGCACCUCAAGUGGUCAGGAGGAUUAUUGGGCCUAAAGCAUCCGUAGCCUGCUCUGUAAGUUUUCGGUUAAAUCUAUAUGCUCAACGUAUAGGCUGCCGAAAAUACUGCAGUGCUAGGAAGUGGGAGAGGUAGACGGUACUUGAUAGGAAGGGGUAAAAUCCUUUGAUCUAUCGAUGACCACCUGUGGCGAAGGCGGUCUACCAGAACACGUUCGACGGUGAGGGAUGAAAGCUGGGGGAGCAAACCGGAUUAGAUACCCGGGUAGUCCCAGCUGUAAACGAUGCAGACUCGAUGAUGCAUUGGCAUAUAGCCAGUGCAGUGUCGCAGGGAAGCCGUUAAGUCUGCCGCCUGGGAAGUACGUACGCAAGUAUGAAACUUAAAGGAAUUGGCGGGGGAGCACCACAAGGGGUGAAGCCUGCGGUUCAAUUGGAGUCAACGCCGGAA